rnacentral:rRNA from 1 species
UACGAAGGGGGCAAGCGUUGUUCGGAAUUAUUGGGCGUAAAGAGCUCGUAGGCGGCCAGUUGCGUCUGCUGUGAAAUCCCGGGGCUCAACCCCGGGCGUGCAGUGGAUACGGGCUGGCUAGAGGCAGGCAGGGGAGAACGGAAUUCCCGGUGUAGCGGUGAAAUGCGCAGAUAUCGGGAGGAACACCGGUGGCGAAGGCGGUUCUCUGGGCCUGUACUGACGCUGAGACGCGAAAGCGUGGGGAGCGAACAGG